UUUUUUUUUUUUUUUUUUUUUUUGAUAUGAGGUACAUUAAUGUUCCCAGGCUGCUGGGGCAUGAAACACAGAGUUACGACCCCUCAGCCUGAUAUGAGGGGCAGGAAGAGUUUGUUCUAAGAGGAACAUCAGCAUGCAGCUGUUGUGUGAGGUAUCCUGUCCAUCCUCUGUGUCUCUUAGGAUACAGACAGAGUGAGAAUGUUCAGAGAAGAACCAGAAGUUUUUGAAGGACCUUGGUGGCUGUCUUUCUACAUCCGAGUGAGUCUGCUUUUUAUAGUCCCUGACAUCGUACAGAGCAUCUCAUCGCUCUGUCUUCCUCCCAUCUUCAAUGGGCAUCGGACUCUUUCCCUUCCCUCCUCUCUGCCUGAGCUUGGAAGAGAGGGCAGAACUAGAUUUGCUUAGAUCCACUGGCAAAGAGACAAGGCCUGGUAGCCCUGGCUUUUCCUCCAGGGUACUGGGACCAAAUUUUCCUCUGUCCUCCUCUAUGACUUUUGUCACAUCUAAGAGCCUUCCUUGUUGCUGAGAGAUAUUUCUGUGCUGUGGUUCUGUUUGAGAGCCCUGGUAUGUGAGCAUGCAUCUGACUGUGCUUAUCCACCCUGUGUUAAGCAUCAUAGGUGACCAUUUCCUUGUCUAUAAAUCUGGAUUGGAAUUGUGCUUACUUAGGGGUUACUGUGAAGGUAAAGUGAGUCACACCUGUAGUGCUGAGAGCAGCAUGCGACAUCAAACAGUCACUUAAGCACUGGCUAUCAAAAAUGGCAUAACUUGGACAGGAAACGAAUGGAGAAGAUAAUAUAUGUAAUGGAGGAAAAAAUUGUGUGUGUGGGAGGUAGAAAUAUUAGACUGCAUGGGCUUGGUGGAGCAAUGGGGUGGUAGGCACAGCACAGGCUUCAGGGAGCACGAGGGUGAUGGAUACAGAGUAGACUUGGAGUAGCAAGGCUGGUAGUGGGCACAGCAUAGGCAUGGAGUAGCAAGAUGGGUAGUGGUCAAAGCAGAAGUUUGACAGUGCUGAUCUGGGGCAACUGACUGCUCAUCUGAGUUUGCAUCAAGUUGGAUUUGAGAUAUGACAGGCAAGGGGCUGAACUAGGUGGUACGGCAUCCAAACUGGUGCCUAUUGCUAGGAUGAAGGAUGGUGGGAAAUGUGAGCCUAUGGAAGGGCAAAGGAGGGGCAGUAUGGAGCACAAAGGGAACCUGACAAAUGAGGGCACAAGCAAUGGGAGGCUGAAAGGGGGAGGGGCUGGAACUGACGGGGCCUGUGGAAUAAGAAAUGGUAUUUGGAUCGGAAUGUGGGUAUCCAAAGGCUUGUGAUGAUCUUUUCAGAGAUGUAGAAGCACAUAUAUUCUGUUUAAAAACACGACUUUGAAACGGAACACAUGCAGAUUUAUGCAAAUCAUAAAGUAGACGAGGUGAACUUCCCCCCAAAGUGAGCAGCAGGUGUCAAUGAUAAGAAACAGCACGAGGGGGCUGGAGAGCUGGUCUGCUGGUAAAGUGCUUGCCACACAAGUGUGGAGGGUUGCCCCCUCCCCCAGAACCUACAUAAGAAGAGGGUACAGUAGUACUUGCUUGUAAGACCAGCAAUGAUGAGAUAGGAGGCAAAAACAGAUGCAUCUACAGAGCUCACGGGCCAGCUAGCCUAGCCUCCUGGUGAAAUUCUAGAUCUUAUGAGGGAUCCUAUCU
rnacentral:lncRNA from 1 species